ensembl:snRNA U6 U6 spliceosomal RNA
AUACUCACUUUGGCAGCACAUACACUAAAAUUGGAAUGAUACAGAGAUUACCAUGGUCCUUGCACAGAGAUGACAUGCAAAUUUGUGAAGUGUUCCAUAUUUUU